rnacentral:rRNA from 1 species
CCAUAGCUAGUUGUGAGUACGGCUCACAGCGACGAUGGUAGCGCUGAGAGGGUGACCGGCACACUGGAACUGRRACACGGUCCMGAACUCCUACGGGAGGCAGCAGUGGGGAAUCUUGSGCAAUGGGCGAAAGCCUGACGCAGCGACGCCGCGKGAGCGAARAAGCCUUCGGGUCGUAAAGCUCAGUCAUUGGGGAUGAGAUGACAGUACCCAAGGAGGAAGCCCCGGCUAACUACGUGCCAGCAGCCGCGGUAAUACGUAGGGGGCGAGCGUUGUCCGGAAUUACUGGGUGUAAAGGGCGUGUAGGCGGGGGUGCAAGUUACCGGUAAAAACCCAGGGCUCAACUCUGGGCUUGCCGGUAAAACUGCAUCUCUUGAGUGUAGGAGAGGGAAGUGGAAUUCCCGGAGUAGCGGUGAAAUGMRUARAUACCGGGAGGAACACCAGUGGCGAAGGCGGCUUCCUGGCCUACAACUGACGCUGAGGCGCGAAAGCUAGGGUAGCGAACGGGAUUAGAUACCCCGGUAGUCCUAGCCGUAAACGAUGGUCACUAGGUGUGGGUGGUGGUCAAGCCAUCCGUGCCGGAGCUAACGCAAUAAGUGCCCCACCUGGGGAGUACGGCCGCAAGGCUGAAACUCAAAGGAAUUGACGG